rnacentral:rRNA from 1 species
AACCUCCCCAGAACAGGUGAAUAGCCUUGCGAAAGUAAGAUUAAUACACCGUACCAUACGGAUGUGGCAUCACAACCGUAUUAUAGGUAGCAAUACCGGUUCUGGAUGGGCGUGCGCCUGAUUAGGUAGUUGGCGGGGUAACGGCCCACCAAGCCUUCGAUCAGUAACUGGUGUGAGAGCACGACCAGUCACACGGGCACUGAGACACGGGCCCGACUCCUACGGGAGGCAGCAGUAAGGAAUAUUGGUCAAUGGACGCAAGUCUGAACCAGCCAUGCCGCGUGAAG